UUUGCACGGAAUGGAUUCGAUGGGCUGUUGUUGCUAGCACAAAAAAAUGUCUUGUGACAUGUCGUUGUACAAUAAUCGAUAUUGGAAAUAUUUCCAAUAUUUGUUGACGUGACUGGAUGCGGGGAUGCAGUCAACAUUUAUUUUCGUAAGCCCACACAAAAUCGAGAAUGUUUCAUAUACCGAAAAGGCAAGCACAGCUAGAAUGAAACGCAAUAGUGUACACUAAAUCCUUUGACGGAAGGUCCCAAUUUCAAUUUACAACCAGUUUCCAAAAUCUUGCCACAAAACAUCGCAACAAAUUUUGAACAGGGGACGUUACGUUUUACCAAAUCGGCGGAGCAGGUGCAGAGCACAAUGCGCCAUCACCGACCAUCUUACAAAGAGCUGUCAUUUUA